rnacentral:rRNA from 1 species
UACGGGAGGGGGCUAGCGUUGUUCGGAAUUACUGGGCGUAAAGCGCGCGUAGGCGGACCUGCAAGUCGGGGGUGAAAGCCCGAGGCUCAACCUCGGAACUGCCUUCGAUACUGCGGGUCUCGAGUCCGGGAGAGGUGAGUGGAAUUCCUAGUGUAGAGGUGAAAUUCGUAGAUAUUAGGAAGAACACCAGUGGCGAAGGCGGCUCCACUG